rnacentral:rRNA from 1 species
UACGGAAGGCAGCAGUGGGGAAUAUUGCACAAUGGGCGAAAGCCUGAUGCAGCUAUGCCGCGUGUAUGAAGAAGGCCUUAGGGUUGUAAAGUACUUUCAUCGGGGAGGAAAAACAAAACUAAUAAUUUUAUUUCUUGACGUUACCCGAAAAAGAAGCACCGGCUAACUCCGUGCCAGCAGCCGCGGUAAUACGGAGGGUGCUAGCGUUAAUCAGAAUUACUGGGCGUAAAGAGCACGUAGGUGGUUUUUUUAAGUCAGAUGUGAAAUCCCUGGGCUUAACCUAGGAACUGCAUUUUGAAACUGAAAUACUAGAGUAUCGUAGAGGGAGGUAGAAUUCUAGGUGUAGCGGUGAAAUACGUAGAUAUCUGGAGGAAUACCUGUGGCGAAAGCGGCCUCCUAAACGAAUACUGACACUGAGGUGCGAAAGCGUGGGGAGCAAACGAGGAUUAGAUACC